rnacentral:rRNA from 1 species
CACGGUGGAUGCCCUGGCACUGGAACCGACGAAGGACGCGAUUACCUGCGAUAAGCCAAGACGAGCUGGAGAUAAGCGUUGACUCUUGGAUUUCCGAAUGGGGAAACCCACUGCAUUCGCAGUACACCGAAAGGUGAGGGAACGCGGAGAACUGAAACAUCUAAGUACCCGCAGGAACAGAAAGAGACAUCGAUUCCGUCAGUAGCGGCGAGCGAACCCGGAACAGCCCAAACCAGAACGCUCGCGUUCUGGGGUUGAAGGAUCACCAUUUAAGACUCAUCCACUCCACUUGAAGCAACUGGAAAGUUGCACCGUAGAAGGUGACAGUCCUGUAAAGGUACGACUGGAUGACUGAGGUGACACCUGAGUAGGUCGUUGUUCGUGAAACGAUGACUGAAUCCACGCGGACCACCGCGUAAGGCUAAAUAUUCCCAGUGACCGAUAGCGCACAGUACCGUGAGGGAACGGUGAAAAGAACCCCGGAAGGGGAGUGAAAGAGAACCUGAAACCGUGGAUUUACAAGCAGUCAAGGCUCCAUACGUGAGUCUUGGCGUGCCUAUUGAAGCAUGAGCCGGCGACUUAGACCUGUCUUGCAAGCUUAAGUCGAUGACGGAGGCGGAGCGAAAGCGAGUCCGAACAGGGCGAAUCAGUAAGACGGGCUAGACUCGAAACCAGGUGAGCUAAGCAUGACCAGGCUGAAACCCCCGUGACAGGGGGUGGAGGGCCGAACCGGUGCCUGCUGAAACAGUCUCGGAUGAGUUGUGUUUAGGAGUGAAAAGCUAACCGAACCUGGAGAUAGCUAGUUCUCCCCGAAAUGUAUUGAGGUACAGCCUCGGAUGUUGACCCUGUCCUGUAGAGCACUGACAAGGCUCGGGGGCCUACCAGCCUACCAACCCUUAUCAAACUCCGAAGGGGCAGGUGUUUAAAUCCGGGAGUGAGGCUGCGAGAGCUAACUUCCGUAGCCAAGAGGGAAACAACCCAGACCGCCAGCUAAGGUCCCCAAAUAAUCGCUCAGUGGUUAAGGAUGUGUCGUCGCACAGACAGCCAGGAGGUUGGCUUAGAAGCAGCCACCCUUGAAAGAGUGCGUAAUAGCUCACUGGUCGAGUGACGAUGCGCCGAAAAUGAUCGGGGCUUAAGCGAUUUACCGAAGCUGCGGAUUGACUGCGCUUGCGCAGUCACUGGUAGGGGAGCGUUCAAUCCACAGAGAAGCCAUACCGGAAGGAGUGGUGGAGUCGAUUGAAGUGCGGAUGCCGGCAUGAGUAACGUUAAAACAGGUGAGAAUCCUGUUCGCCGUAAGGACAAGGGUUCCUGGGGAAGGGUCGUCCGCCCAGGGAAAGUCGGGGCCUAAGGUGUACCUGAAAGGGGAAGCCGAUGGACAGCAGGUCAAGAUUCCUGCACUGACUGUGUGGAGUGAUGGAGGGACGCAUUACGCUAUCCAAUGCCAAACUACGGCUAUGUUGGUUGGUACGUUCAGGAGGAACGGGUCAGAAAAUCUACCGUUCAUAUCUCUAAGGCGUAUCGGGAGCCUCCUCGGAGGCGAAGUUGGAAACGCGACGGUGCCAAGAAAAGCUUCUAAACGUUGAAACACAGUUACCCGUACCGCAAACCGACACAGGUGUCCGAGUGUCAAUGCACUAAGGCGCGCGAGAGAACCCUCGUUAAGGAACUUUGCAAUCUCACCCCGUAACUUCGGAAGAAGGGGUCCCACCGCUUCGCGGUGGGCGCAGUGAAUAGGCCCAGGCGACUGUUUACCAAAAUCACAGCACUCUGCCAACACGAGAAGUGGACGUAUAGGGUGUGACGCCUGCCCGGUGCCGGAAGGUCAAAGGGAGUGGUGCAAGCUACGAACUGAAGCCCCGGUGAACGGCGGCCGUAACUAUAACGGUCCUAAGGUAGCGAAAUUCCUUGUCGGGUAAGUUCCGACCUGCACGAAAGGCGUAACGAUCUGGGCGCUGUCUCAACGAGGGACUCGGUGAAAUUAUAGUACCUGUGAAGAUGCAGGUUACCCGCGACAGGACGGAAAGACCCCGUGGAGCUUUACUGUAGCCUGAUAUUGAAUUUUGGUACAGUUUGUACAGGAUAGGCGGGAGCCAUUGAAACCGGAGCGCUAGCUUCGGUGGAGGCGCUGGUGGGAUACCGCCCUGACUGUAUUGAAAUUCUAACCUACGGGUCUUAUCGACCCGGGAGACAGUGUCAGGUGGGCAGUUUGACUGGGGCGGUCGCCUCCUAAAGUGUAACGGAGGCGCCCAAAGGUUCCCUCAGAAUGGUUGGAAAUCAUUCGUAGAGUGCAAAGGCAUAAGGGAGCUUGACUGCGAGACCUACAAGUCGAGCAGGGACGAAAGUCGGGCUUAGUGAUCCGGUGGUUCCGCAUGGAAGGGCCAUCGCUCAACGGAUAAAAGCUACCCCGGGGAUAACAGGCUUAUCUCCCCCAAGAGUCCACAUCGACGGGGAGGUU